AGUCGAGCGGCAGCGGGAAAGUAGCUUGCUACUUUUGCCGGCGAGCGGCGGACGGGUGAGUAAUGCCUGGGGAUCUGCCCAGUCGAGGGGGAUAACUACUGGAAACGGUAGCUAAUACCGCAUACGCCCUACGGGGGAAAGCAGGGGACCUUCGGGCCUUGCGCGAUUGGAUGAACCCAGGUGGGAUUAGCUAGUUGGUGAGGUAAUGGCUCACCAAGGCGACGAUCCCUAGCUGGUCUGUUAGGAUGAUCAGCCACACUGGAACUGAGACACGGUCCAGACUCCUACGGGAGGCAGCAGUGGGGAAUAUUGCACAAUGGGGGAAACCCUGAUGCAGCCAUGCCGCGUGUGUGAAGAAGGCCUUCGGGUUGUAAAGCACUUUCAGCGUGGAGGAAAG
rnacentral:rRNA from 1 species